rnacentral:rRNA from 1 species
AUUGAACGCUGGCGGCAGGCCUAACACAUGCAAGUCGAACGAGUGGCGGACGGGUGAGUAAUGCCUGGGAAUCUACCUUAUGGAGGGGGAUAACUACGGGAAACUGUAGCUAAUACCGCGUACCAUAGGAUGAGCCCAAGUGGGAUUAGGUAGUUGGUGGGGUAAAGGCUCACCAAGCCGACGAUCCCUAGCUGGUCUGAGAGGAUGACCAGCCCAACUGGGACGUAGACACGGCCCAGACGCCUACGGGAGGCAGCAGUGGGGAAUAUUGCGCAAUGGGGGCAACCUGACCGAGCCAUGCCGCGUGAGUGAAGAAGGCCUUCGGGUUGUAAAGUUCUGUCGGUAGCGAGGCGUUAACUACAGAAGAAGCAACGGCUAACUACGUGCCAGCAGCCGCGGUAAUUC